AGCAAAUUGCUUCUGGUAGAAUCCAGUGUUUUGGGUCCAGCUGAGCCCAGAUUAAAUACAUAUUCUGACGGAUUUGAUAUUUUAAAAUGUGACAAUGAGGAGCAGAACAUCAAAAAAUUACAUUUAAGGCCAGAUGGGAAAUUAUUAACCAGGCAGUGUAAUACAUCAUUCUCUCAGUGACUAACACUGUGUGUAAUGAAGGACCGUUUUCUUCUGCACUUUGGUUUCCUGGGCAGAAAGGAAGUGUCCUUGGCCACCGGGGGUUGGAAUGUUUUCAUGAUAUUUCCAGUCAUUGUGUUAUCAAAAUUUUGUUCCGGUGUUUGAGGAGGUAAAUUCACAAGGUGUCAAUUAAUUUUCCCCAAGGAUUCGUGUCAACAAAGAACAGCUGAUUUUUCAGGGUUAAAAAAUAACCUCAUAAAAGUUCUGUUCAAUUCCUUCACUAUUUAUUUAAAAGAAGGAAAUUGUACGUUUGAAGGAUUUUUCACAGUUAGUUUAAAAAACUCCAACAGUAAAUUCACUAUUUUAAUAUUAUUAUUAUUUCUGAAUUUCUCAAUGUUGUUCUGUUAUCUUCAGGUUGGAGUCCAGCAGCUGCCCAGUUACCACUGAGGUGCUCUGAGCAAGGCACCGUCCCCACACACUGCUCCCCGGGCGCUCAAAGCUGCCCCCUGCUGGCUUUGGUGAAGGGUUAAAAACAGAGGUCACAUUUGGUUGUGUGCAGUGGUGUGUCACAGUGACCAGUACUUCACUUUCCUUUCCUUCUUUUCUAGAGUUCUGAACUUCUUACUCUACAGAAUAAGAAUCCACCAUUCUGUCAUUCUCGCUGGUUGAAAUCCUGACUGUGAAACCGUGCCCUGGAGUGGUCCCAGUAUGGAUCGGUACCUGCUGAAGGUUGGAGCUGGAGCCAAUCCAAGAAGUCAUCAGUAGAGGGCGUUGUCAUGCCCUGAACAGCCGGACCGUCCAAUGACAGGGCCAGAUAUGAGAACAGUACAUUCAAAGACCCUGUCAGCAGCAGCAGCAUCAGCAGCGGGUGGAUCUCUCCUCUCUGAAAAUGAGAUACAGCAGGAUGAUUUUUGACAGCCAGGAUUACAGUGGAGGCUUCAGCCGACCCCAGUCAUCUACAGUGGACAGUUUGACAGACAAAUACAGUAUAUAUACACCAACCAUCUCCAUGUCUUCUUCCACCACACCACGAGGUUUCUCUGGAGUCUUCCUCUCUUCCUCCUCCUCAGCAGCUCCAUCGUCAUCAUCCCAACGCCACACGUCACGACACACCACGGACUCUGCUGAUCAGAAUCCGACCCUGCUCGUCUUGUCCGUCCUACGUGGUUAUAUUUACAUCAUUUAUUUUUAAAGACACCUGCACCUGCAGUAACCCGCCUGUAGAGGAAGCCUUGAGUCGCAGUCACCGACACUGAACGCACGAUGCAGCAAGUAAUGCAGAAAAUGAAGAGGCCGCAAGUACCAGGGAGCCCCCAAGGUUGAAAUGGUUGGAGACACAAAUCGUACAAGUUGAAGGGAGAACAGAGGUACCAGCUGUAUAGAGAACCAGCAAACGUUUGAUCUUCUUUCUGCGAGGCAAACGCACGAACCGUUCCAACAUCGUGUGGUCUAAAACUAAUCAUUUAACCAAGAAAUCAACCAACAUUUUUCAUCAGUAUUAUUUCCUCCUGGCAGAAGAAGCUCAGAGGCUGCAACACAAUCAUUCAUCAUCCACAACAUCUGCUGGACAAACUUCCAGCCAACAAACCAAAGAACAAAUGUGUUUCUUCAGUGUAAUAUCCUUGAAGCUUUUACUCUUUUACAUCGUCACGAGUUAUUAGAUCACUCCGUCCUGAGACUAAACUAAACCUGGAACUUGAGGAAGUGUUGCUGUGACUUUGCUGGAUCUCAUACAACUGGUCGUCUGGCACUUCCUGUCAGAUAUGAACAGAAGAGAAAAAAAACUGUCAUCAUUUGGCUCUCAGUUAAUGUGUGGUGAUUUAGGCUCAGAACAGAGAUACAGGACAGAUGGUCUUUGUGCAAAUAUUAGGAUUGGAAUUCAUAAUCUAAUCUGCCAUUGCUGACAAACCAAACACCUACAACCCCCCCCCC